rnacentral:rRNA from 1 species
CCAGGUUGAUUCUGCCUGACGUGUACGCUAGUCUUGAAGAUUUAGCCAUGCAAGCUCGCGAAGCCUAGUGCGGAGCGGCAGACAGCUCAGUAAUACAGUUAUUAUUUACUCGUGGUAAAUAUAUGGAUAACCAUGGUAAGCUAUGGCUAAUACAUGGACAGGUUAUGCCUUCGGUGAAACAGGUGUAACGGACAGACACGACCACGACUAAGUUUCUGGCCUAUUAGCUAUUCUAUGUACGGCAACGGCGUACAUUGGCGAUGAUGGGUAACGGGGGAUCAGGGUCUGAUACCGGAGAGGGAGCCUGAGAAACAGCUCCCACGUCUAAGGAUGGCAGCAGGCGCGAAAAUUACCCAAUUCCUUAACGGGAGAGGUAGUGAAGAGACAUGAGAUUUAUCUACAGACCGGAUAGUAAAGACAUCCGGGAUCGAUUGGAGGGCAAGUCUGGUGCCAGCAGCCGCGGUAAUUCCAGCUCCAAGAGCGUAUAUACAUAUUGCUGCAGUUAAAAAGUCCGUAGUUGAUCACUUCGACACUGUGAGUAAAUUAUAGUUCUCAAAGCAAGUUUUUGAGUAAUUUAGCAUGGGACGUUGCGAAGAUAGGAACAGUUGAUGGCAACAGUAUUCGGCAGCUAGAGGUGAAAAUUGAUGACCUGCUGAGGACUACCUGAAGCGAAGGCGGUUGUCAAGGAUGUUUCCGUUAAUAAAGGACUUAAGCCGGUGGAUCGAAGAUGAUUAGAGACCGUCGUAGUUCCGGCUGUAAACUAUGCCUACUGGGUGAGGCCAUUUGGCUGUGCCCUACGAGAAAUCAAGAGUUUAUGGGCUCUGGGGAAAGUACGUCCUCACGGAUGAAACUUAAAGAAAUUGACGGAAGGACACCACAAAGAGUGGAGUGUGCGGCUUAAUUUGACUCAACGCGGGGCAACUUACCAGGGCCGAAUGCGCAGGAGAUUGGCGAUCUGAGAGGAUCCCCAUGAUUGCGCAGAAAGUGGUGCAUGGCCGUUUUCAACACGUGGCGCGAGCUGUCUGGUUAAUUCCGACAACGUGUGAGGCCCAAGGAACAAGAGAUUGUUCGACGAAUAGCGGCAAGCUAUAGGAAGCUGGGCGAUAACAGGUCAGUGAUGCCCUUAGAUGUUCUGGGCUGCACGCGCACUACAAUGGCACAGGGAGACUAUUGGCCGAAAGGCCAUGUGUAAGCUGUGCCGAAGCUGGGAUAAGAUCUUGUAAAUGAUCUUUGAACGAGGAAUUCUUAGUAAUCGCAAGUCACCAUGUUGCGAUGAAUGCGUCCCUGUUCUCUGUACACACCGCCCGUCACUAUUUAAGAUGGAUGUAUAGGUGAAAUGGCUGGACGCGAGGAAGGCAGUUGAACCUGUGCAACUAGAUAAGAUAUAAGUCGUAACAAGGCU